UCUUUUUUACGUUACUUAGGAGAAGCCAAUAUGAGACCAACCGAGAUAUGCUCAAAUCGCUCAAAUCUUCGGUUCAGAUCCGUUUCCCUGAGAAUUAGAUGGAUUCAACCGUGUAUAUAUAUAGAUAAACCCCCACACGUCUCCCACUUUUUCAUAAAACUGAGAUAAAAAUAGAGAAAGAACCGAAUUAGAGAACGAGAGUUUGAGGAGAGAGCUUUCUGCCGUCAGAGAAGGUUGAGUAGGGACAGUGGAGAAUGGCUGAGCAGAGUUAUGGUUUUCUUUUUAUUUUAAGUAGAGGCUCUCGGCGGUGCAUGUCUCCAUAUAUGUGACCAUGUUCAUUCCGCUGCGUAUUAUUCUUCCAUACUCUGAUAAAUAACAGAAAAGUAAGAUUGCCACCCAAGUUUAAGGUUCUAGAUAGCAUCGACUAUUCUUCCAUACUGUGAUAAAUAUCUAUUGAUGAAUAAGGUUUUGAAUUUUGAAAAGUAUGAUUUCCGUUCCAAUUCUAAUGAUUAAGAGUUAAGUUGAA